rnacentral:rRNA from 1 species
CAGUCGCCGCGGUAAUACGGAGGGGGCUAGCGUUGUUCGGAAUUACUGGGCGUAAAGCGCACGUAGGCGGCUUUGUAAGUCAGAGGUGAAAGCCCGGGGCUCAACCCCGGAAUUGCCUUUGAGACUGCAUCGCUUGAAUCCAGGAGAGGUGAGUGGAAUUCCGAGUGUAGAGGUGAAAUUCGUAGAUAUUCGGAAGAACACCAGUGGCGAAGGCGGCUCACUGGACUGGUAUUGACGCUGAGGUGCGAAAGCGUGGGGAGCAAACAGGAUUAGAUACCCCCGUAGUCCCUGUCUCUUAUAA